rnacentral:rRNA from 1 species
AGCAGCCGCGGUAAUUCCAGCUCCAAUAGCGUAUAUUAAAGUUGUUGCAGUUAAAAAGCCCGUAGUUGAAUUUCGGGAUCAAAUUGUCGGUCGUGCCUCGGUACGUACUGGCGUUAUUGGUUUCUCCCUUCUGAAGAACCGCGAUGUCAUUAAUUUGGUGUCGCGGGGAAUCAGGACUGUUACUUUGAAAAAAUUAGAGUGUUUAAAAGCAGGCUCGCGCUUGAAUACAUUAGCAUGGAAUAAUGAAAUAGGACGUUUGAUUCUAUUUUGUUGGUUUCUAGGAUCGACGUAAUGAUUAAUAGGGAUAGUUGGGGGCAUUAGUAUUCAAUUGUCAGAGGUGAAAAUUCUUGGAUUUAUUGAAGACUAACUACUGCGAAAGCAAUUUGCCAAGGAUGUUUUCAUUAAUCAAGAACGAAAAGUUAGGGGAUCGAAGACGAAUCAGAUACCGUCGUAGUCUUAACCAUAAACUAUGCCGACUAGGGAUCGGAUGAUGUUAAUUUUUAAUGACUCAUUCGGCGCC